rnacentral:rRNA from 1 species
CCAGACUCCUACGGGAGGCAGCAGUGGGGAAUAUUGCGCAAUGGGCGAAAGCCUGACGCAGCGACGCCGCGUGAGGGAUGAAGGUCUUCGGAUCGUAAACCUCUGUCAGCAGGGAAGAACGGUCACUGUGCUAAUCAGCAGUGAAUUGACGGUACCUGCAAAGGAAGCACCGGCUAACUCCGUGCCAGCAGCCGCGGUAAUACGUAGGGGGCAAGCGUUAUCCGGAUUUACUGGGUGUAAAGGGAGCGUAGACGGCAAUACAAGUCGGAAGUGAAAUACCCGGGCUCAACCUGGGAACUGCUUUGGAAACUGUAUGGCUGGAGUGCUGGAGAGGUAAGCGGAAUUCCUAGUGUAGCGGUGAAAUGCGUAGAUAUUAGGAGGAACACCGGCGGCGAAGGCGGCCUGCUGGACCGUGACUGACGUUGAGGCUCGAGAGCGUGGGGAGCAAACAGGAUUAGAUACCCUGGUA